UACGGAGGGUGCGAGCGUUGUCCGGAAUCAUUGGGCGUAAAGGGCGCGUAGGUGGCGCGACAAGUCAGUGGUGAAAGUUCGACGCUCAACGUCGAAUCGGCCACUGAUACUGUUGGGCUUGAGCACUGUAGAGGCUAAUGGAAUUCCGGGUGUAGCGGUGGAAUGCGUAGAGAUCCGGAAGAGCACCGGUGGCGAAGGCGGCUACCUGGACCAGCACUGACACUGAGGCACGAAAGCGUGGGGAGCAAACAGG
rnacentral:rRNA from 1 species